rnacentral:lncRNA from 1 species
GGGUGGUGCUUAUUUAUUAAUUGUGUCUACUCAUCCGUGGGCUAAUAUUAUUUUUGUUUUUUAUGCAGGGUCCUAAGAAGAAGACUGUGCCUAAUAAGUGCGGGAGGUGCAGGGUAGAAGGACACAACCGGACCAAUUGCACUGUUCCGAUCUGAUGGGAGAUUGACGUUGAUGUGAUGGAAGUUUUUUGGGUGAACGGAUAUUGUAAGGAGGUGCUGGGAGAAUUUGUUUUUGUACGGAACCUGGGUAACCUCAAGGAGUAAUUGUUUUGGU